AAAGUACUCCCUCCGUCCCAAAAUUCUUGUCCUAGAAUUGUCUAGAUAUAGAUGUAUCAAGUCACAUUUUAGUAUUAGAUACAUCCAUAUCUAGACAAAUACAAGACAAGAAAUUUGGGAUAGAGGGAGUAGUUG
rfam:Triticum aestivum genome assembly, contig: Triticum_aestivum_CS42_TGACv1_scaffold_307497_4AS